AACGUAGGACACAAGCGUUAUCCGGAGUUACUGGGCGUAAAGGGCGUGUAGGCGGACCUAUAAGUCUAUUCUGAAAGCUCCUGGCUAAACUGGGAGAGGCGAAUGGAGACUGUAGAUCUAGAGUGAGGAAGAGGAAAGUGGAAUUCCGCGUGUAGUGGUGAAAUGCGUAGAGAUGCGGAGGAACACCAGUGGCGAAAGCGGCUCACUGGACCAUAACUGACGACUGAUGGCACGAAAAGCUAGGGGAGCAAACAGG
rnacentral:rRNA from 1 species